rnacentral:rRNA from 1 species
AGCCCCGGCUAACUACGUGCCAGCAGCCGCGGUAAUACGUAGGGGGCGAGCGUUACCCGGAAUCACUGGGCGUAAAGGGAGCGUAGGUGGCCUGACAUGUCGACUGUGAAAACCCGGAGCUCAACUCCGGACUUGCAGUUGAAACUGCCAGGCUUGAGGACGGUAGAGGAAGACGGAACUGCCAGUGUAGGGGUAAAAUCCUUAGAUAUUGGCAGGAACGCCGGUGACGAAGGUGGUUUUCUGGGCCGGUUCUGACACUGAUGCUCGAAAGCCAGGGGAGCGAACGGGAUUAGAUACCCCGGUAGUCCUGGCCCUAAACGAUGUUCACUAGGUGUGGGGAGCGGAAAGCUUUCCGUGCUAAAGCUAACGCGAUAAGUGAACCGCCUGGGGAGUACGCCCGCAAGGGUGAAACUCAAAGGAAUUGACGGGGGCCCGCACAAGCGGUGGAGCGUGUGGUUUAAUUCGAUGCUAAGCGAAGGACCUUACCAAGGUUUGACAUGCUGAUAGUAGUGAAUUGAAAGAGGAACGACCACACUUUGUGUGGAGUCAGCACAGGUGGUGCACGGCCGUCGUCAGCUCGUGCCGUGAGGUGUUGGGUUAAGUCCCGCAACGAGCGCAACCCCUGCUCUUAGUUGCCAGCGGUAAGGCCGGGCACUCUAGGAGGACCGCCGCCGACGAGGCGGAGGAAGGGGGGGAUGACGUCAGGUAUCGUGCCCCUUAUAUCUUGGGCGACACACGCGCUACAAUGGGUUGGACAGAAGGGACCGAGACAGCAAUGUGGAGGAAAUCCUCAAACCAACCCCCAGUUCAGAUUGCAGGCUGCAACCCGCCUGCAUGAAGCCGGAAUCGCUAGUAAUCGCAGAUCAGCCAAGCUGCGGUGAAUACGUUCCCGGGCCUUGUACACACCGCCCGUCAAGCCACCCGAGUUGGUAACACCUGAAGAUGAGUAUCCUAACCGAAAGGAGGGAGCUUGUUUAGGGUGGGAUUGGCAAGGGGGGCUAAGUCGUAACAAGGUAGCCCUACCGGAAGGUGGGGCUG